rnacentral:rRNA from 1 species
GAUGAACGCUAGCGGCAGGCUUAAUACAUGCAAGUCGAGGGGUAGCAAGGUUGUAGCAAUACAAUUGUUGACGACCGGCAAACGGGUGCGGAACACGUACACAACCUUCCUACAAGUGGGGAAUAGCCCAGAGAAAUUUGGAUUAAUACCCCGUAACAUAGCGAUGUGGCAUCACAUUGCUAUUAUAGCUUCGGCGCUUGUUGAUGGGUGUGCGGCUGAUUAGAUAGUUGGCGGGGUAACGGCACACCAAGUCUAUGAUCAGUAGCUGAUGUGAGAGCAUGAACAGCGACACGGGCACUGAGACGCGGACCCGACGCCUACGGGAGGGAGCAGUAAGGAAUGUGGGACAAUGGACGGAAGUCUGAUCCAGCCAGGCCGCGUGAAGGAUUAAGGUCCUCUGGAUUGUAAACUUCUUUUAUAAGGGACAAAAAAAGGUCUUUCUAGAUCGUCUGACGGUACCUUAUGAAUAAGCACCGGCUAACUCCGUGCCAGCAGCCGCCGUAAGAC